rnacentral:lncRNA from 1 species
AGCCUCUGAUAGCCAGAUCAUUCUCCUUCUUGUCUUUUACACCUGACUUUCAUGGAUCUCCUUCAUUACUUCACCUCAAGAUUGUCUAGAAUAAUCUUUCUUCUGGUCUAGCAACUCAUCAUUCCUGAUGCUUAAAGGGAUGUCAUGAAAGCUCUCUUCUGAUAUUUGAAGGGCUGUCAUGUGGAAGAAAGAGUAGUCUUGUUCUGUGGAGCUCCAGAAGACAGAUCCAAGACUGUUUGAUGGAAAUCAGAAUGGGGCAGAUUUCAGGUCACCAUGACUUUGCAGCAUUGAGAGUUGUCACCCAAUGGAAUCAAUUGCUUGGAGCAUCAUGGCAUCCCCAGUCCUGAGUGUGCUAGAGCCCAAGCUGGAUGUCUAUGUAUUGGGGAUGUUGUAGGGAAGAUUCUUUUAUGGAUGGAAGAUUGAUCUGGAGGAUACCUGAGGUCUCUUCCAACUCGAAGGGACUCCUUCCAUUCCUUCAACAAGACACCAAACCUUUCUCGAUGGAGAUGGAUUUUCAUUUCCUUGUUCUUUUGACUCUAAUCUUUGGACCUCUAGCACUGUCUUUUCCACAUCGUAUUUUUGUGUGUCCUCUUGCUUGGUAUGACUUAAUGACUGAAUAUCAGACUCAUGAAAUCAUAGAACUGUAUAUUGCAGUUGGAAGAGACUUCAGAUGCCACCGAGUCUCAUUUGUUCAUUUUGCAGAUGACUGUGACUUUUCCUCGCUUGGAGCUUCCAGGAGUGGCAUGGCAUCUCCCAUCUACACACUGUUGCAUUAGCCGUGCCUCCUGCCAGGAGAACAGUUCUUCCUUGCCUCUGCAUCAUAGACUCUGACUCUGAGCACAGCUCAAGCAGUAUCUUCUGUAUGGACCUUUCUUGAUCACCCAACUGCUAGCCCCCUCCCUCUUAAAGUACUGUGUUCUUGCC